GUGCGUCCUAGGAAGCUGUUUGGUUUAGAAAAUCACAGGAGGAAGCUGAAGAGAAAACACAAACUAGAGACAAGUGGGGAAAGCUUUGCCCGGCUCUUCCCUGGAAUCCAGCUCGGCUCUGUUGGGGCUUCAAGGACGGGGGAAGAAUCGGGCAGCGGGCCUUCUCCACCUCUCCACUCGAGUCCUGCUUGGCCAGGGCUGGCCUCGGUCCUCUCCUGUCAUCUGGACAACCAGCGUCAACUUUGGCCCCACUGACAUCAUGAAAAUGAACGUGUUAGUCACUCGGUCGUGUCCGACUCUUUGCAACCCUAUGGACGUAGCCCGCCAGCCUCCUCUGUCCUUGGGAUUCUCCAGAGAACACAGCCUUGCAGAUCCAGGCCUGGACAUCUGGACCAGAUAGUGACGGGCUCACCUCCAGAUGAUGCCCGGAUAAGUUCCAGCUGUUUCGCUGAGCCUCAUGGACUGUCUUCAUUGUCAUUGUCAUCAGCAAGAUCCAGACAUGACUGCAGGCUCCUCAAUAAACACUUUCCCAGUCGGCCAGAUCGGAUUUGAAGACGCGCUCUGGGAAAAGGCUGCUGACAGGAGCCCCCGGCCAGAAUCCUCUAGUAAUGCCAGAUUCCCUUAUGAUUACUUCCUGAUUUUGUUUCAUGAAUGAAAUUAGACACGGUGUGGAAUUUCCUAAAUCACAAACACAUUUAUUCGGGGGACAGUGAUAGAAGUGUGUGUGUGAGGUGUGAGGCCCGAGUGUGCCCAGAACAGGGCGCGUGAAUCUGGUCACACAUUUGACUUUGUCACCCUGGGGUCAGCGGCCCCGCACGUGACAUGCAGGUUGGAGGGAAGUUGCCUACAAAUGAGA
ensembl:lncRNA